GGCCGUAUGGCUUAGGGGUUAUAGCGCGAGAUAGUCGUGCCUUUUCCUGACAGGUCCCUUCGCGUGGGUUCGACUCCCACUACGACCA